GACCACGUAGCUCGGUUGGCAGAGCAUUGGGCUAGUAUUCCAAAGGUCGUAGGUUCGAUUCCCACCGUGGACA
rnacentral:tRNA from 1 species